rnacentral:rRNA from 1 species
UACGUAGGGUGCAAGCGUUGUCCGGAAUUAUUGGGCGUAAAGAGCUUGUAGGCGGUUUGUCGCGUCUGCUGUGAAAUUUCGGGGCUCAACCCCGAACUUGCAGUGGGUACGGGCAGACUAGAGUGUGGUAGGGGAGACUGGAAUUCCUGGUGUAGCGGUGAAAUGCGCAGAUAUCAGGAGGAACACCGAUGGCGAAGGCAGGUCUCUGGGACGGUACUGACGCUAAGGCGCGAAAGCGUGGGGAGCGAACAGG